UGAUUUUUCAUCUGGGUAUUCGUUACAUUUGAUACUGAAGGUUUGAUUUUUAGGGGGAAAAAUGGGGUCAAUGAUUUGCAUGAAUGAGCUAUGUCGUGCAACGACGUCGGUUGAGUGGAAGAAAGGAUGGGGAUUCAAAUCCGGUGGAUUUGCUAAGCUUUGCUACAACUGCGGAUCUGCUUUUGAGAAUUUCGUUUUCUGUGAAACAUUCCACCCGGAUGAAUCUGGUUGGAGGGAAUGCAGAACUUGUAGAAAGCCUAUACACUGUGGGUGCAUUGCCUCAAAAUAUUUGUAUGAGUACUUGGAUUACGGAGGUGUUACAUGUAUAAAAUGUGCACAUCAUUUGGAUGGUCAUUCCAUCAGGCCAAUACAGAUACCUGGUGAUGAUUUUCCUAUUGG
rnacentral:misc_RNA from 1 species